rnacentral:rRNA from 1 species
UGGGGUGACGUCAAGUCCUCAUGGCCCUUAUGUCCAGGGCUACACACGUGCUACAAUGGGUGGUACAAAGAGAAGCCAACUCGCGAGAGCGCGCCAAUCUCAAAAAACCGGUCUCAGUUCGGAUUGCAGGCUGCAAUUCGCCUGCAUGAAGUCGGAAUCGCUAGUAAUCGCAGGUCAGCAUACUGCGGUGAAUACGUUCCCGGGCCUU